rnacentral:rRNA from 1 species
GACGGAGGGUGCAAGCGUUGUUCGGAUUGACUGGGCGUAAAGGGCGUGUAGGCGGUUGGUCAAGUCUGAUGUGAAAGCCCGGGGCUCAGCUCCGGAAGGGCAUCGGAAACUAGCCAGCUGGAGCGCGAUAGAGGAGGGCGGAAUUCCUGGUGUAGCGGUGAAAUGCGUAGAUAUCAGGAGGAACACCGGCGGCGAAGGCGGCCCUCUGGAUCGUUGCUGACGCUGAGACGCGAAAGCGUGGGGAGCAAACAGG